rnacentral:misc_RNA from 1 species
UAUGCCUAUUUGAGUGUUAUGAACAUCUCAUCCAAAUCCUUUGGAUGGUUAUGAGCUUGCGUUGGCUAGCUCGAAAUCAAUAGGGAAAACAUUUACCAUGUCUAUCGUCAUAUAUAUUUGCGAUGUCCAUUGGUACUUAGUGACCCAUAAUAUUUUUCAAUCUUAGCCUCAAAUUAGGUAGGAAUACCCGCUGAACUUAA